rnacentral:rRNA from 1 species
CGCGAUUCGCCCUUCGGGGUGCCCAGGCGCGAAAACUUUGCAAUGCGGGAAACCGUGACAAGGGAACUCUGAGUGCCCGUUAAAUCGGGCUGUCCAUCGGUUUAAAUAACCGGUGAAGAAAGGGCCGGGCAAGACCGGUGCCAGCCGCCGCGGUAAUACCGGCGGCUCGAGUGGUGGCCACUAUUACUGGGCUUAAAGCGUUCGUAGCUGGUUUGUUAAGUCUCUGGGGAAAUCUUCCGGCUUAACCGGAAGGCGUCUCAGGGAUACUGGCAGACUAGGGACCGGGAGAGGUGAGAGGUACUCCAGGGGUAGGAGCGAAAUCCUGUAAUCCUUGGGGGACCACCUGUGGCGAAGGCGUCUCACCAGAACGGCUCCGACAGUGAGGGACGAAAGCUGGGGGAGCAAACCGGAUUAGAUACCCGGGUAGUCCCAGCUGUAAACGAUGCGCGUUAGGUGUAUCGGUGACCACGAGUCACCGAGGUGCCGAAGAGAAAUCGUGAAACGUGCCGCCUGGGAAGUACGGUCGCAAGGCUGAAACUUAAAGGAAUUGGCGGGGGAGCAC